UGUACAAUAUGUAGGAAAACUGCCUACUCGCAUACUAUGUUGGAUUAAGACUCUCACACGACGAGUGUCCUUCUACCGAUUGAAGGACCAAAUUAUGCAUCAGACAUCACCCAAAUGGAACACAUCCGAAUCGAAGCCUGGAGCUCUGGACAAUUUUCAGUCAACUAGAAACGCCUCCGACCAGGCAACAUCAAAUUCCAAAUUACAAAAUUAAAAAGAUUUUGUGAAAAAAAUACUGGAGGUCCGGGUGCACCGUGGUGGUAUCGAUAUCGGUAGUAUCCAGAGUGCUAGUCAACAUACAUGACCUUAUAUCCCCCGAUGGGACGCCCUGGAACGGGCCCCAAUGGCACGAACAGGCAGCCCCCACUUGGCACGGAUCGUAGUUAUGCUCACGGCCUACGUUAUGGCCAUGUGGUUCCUGGCCACCUUCACUGAGAAGCGGUUCGAGAUGGGGAGAAACUUGGGAUCUGAGACCUUAACUGCGAUAUGUCGUCACUCCUAAAUGAGAGUUUACACGAGAGAUCUUCCUUGUCAGACCCACCAAUGCGUCUUUCUUUCUCAUGAUAAAACUCCAAAACUUUCUUGCAACCCUCUGAGAAUAGAGCCAACCACAGCCGUUCAGCGUCCUCAACCAAGAGCCUCUGGAGAUGCGAGGGAUCUCUAUCAGAAGAUAGACCAAUUGUCACCUGCACUGUCGGUCCUUGAGGGUCCUUUGGGGGCAAUCCUGUUCGUUCGCGUGCAAUUUGAUAAGGAUCAACUGCGGUGAUUGGGAUGAGUAACAUGGGAUCGCCGGAUAGAACCCUGACGUUUGGAUUCGACGGCAGACUAGAUCCAAGAUUCACUAUAAAUGCUCCGAGCCACAUAUCCACAGUGCCUAUAGGGAAGAUCCGAGCCAAAUGGAAACUGCUCGUUCAUGCCAUUGAGGAUCGUUCCUAGGUGGUUCCUUCGCUGGAUAUAAUAUCAUUAUUGUUGUCGAGCACUGCUGGCUGGAUACUGAGCCAGCUGACGAUUGUCUUGAUCAGCUAGUGAGACAGCUUCCCAAAAGGACAGUGACUUGUAAAACGGAAGGGAUCGCCCUUGGAUGGUCCUCUGGUACUCAGGCAAUCAAUUGGCGAACCAUUCGGAAAUUUGAGAUUUUGCGCAGACAAACAAACCGUCAAAAUCGAAAAUAUAAACCCCACAGAUGUGAGACAAACGGAUUAACAAGAAAACACACGGAAACAGAGCUGUACACUGGGAACUUCGUUCCUAAUCAUCAGCUUCCUGCGAGUCCUUUUCGGACUGACAGCGAUAUGCCAGAGGAUGGAUCUUGAAGCCAUAGAGUCUGUGGAUCGAAAGGGGCCCAAACUGGACACAAUACGCAUCCGUUAUGUACUAUAUGUAUAUUUUUUAUAAAAGGAAACGGAAACA
rnacentral:sRNA from 1 species